AAGUCGUAACAAGUUUUCAGGAGGUGAACCUGCGGAAGGAUCAUUAUUGAUUGUGAAUCGUUGCCUCCAGUGCUGGCUCUCGCAAGUGCACGGUUGGUGACUUUCAUCCAACACCCUGUGAACCUUUGGCCUCUUGCUAGCUUCGGCUGGCAGAGGAUUUUUACACACACUCGAAUGUAAUGAAAUUAUUGUCGUGCGCAAGCACUUAUGUACAACUUUCAACAACGGAUCUCUUGGCUCUCGCGUCGAUGAAGAACGCAGCGAAAUGCGAUAAGUAAUGUGAAUUGCAGAAUUCAGUGAAUCAUCGAAUCUUUGAACGCACCUUGCACCCUUUGGCAUUCCGAAGGGUAUGCUCGUUUGAGUGUCAUUGUACUCUCACACUUCUGAUCCUUUGGAUUUGGAGCGGUGGACUUGGGUGUUGCCACUUGACGGUGGCUCACCUCUAAUGCAUUAGUGCAACUCCUGGUUGGACCAUAGUACGGCGUGAUAAGUGUCUUCGCCGGCACCUCGUGAGAGGGUGGCCGAUCGAGAGCUCUGUGCUUUCAAACCGUCCUUGCAAGGACAAUGACUGACAACUUGACCUCAAAUCGAGUAGGGACUACCCGCUGAACUUAAGCAUAUCAAUAAGCGGGGGGAAAGGGGGGGAUUUUU
rnacentral:rRNA from 1 species